CAAAUACAUCUAGUUGAUGGAGAUGAGUUCGUUUGUGAUAUUUUAUUUAUUACAAAGAGAUAAGGGGGGCUGAUGGUUGCCGACAAAAAAAGAGGAGGGAUGAAAGGUUAAGAAAGAAAACGAAAAAGAAAGGGAGUGGAGAAAGAAGAGGCGGAGGGAUCAGAUCAAAAAAA